UCAUUAUUUUACCAUGUGUGGCAGAGCAUGAGACUCUUAAUCCCAGGGCCAUGGGUUCGAGCCCCACGUUGGGAA